GAUCAUGGCUCAGGAUGAACGCUGGCGGCGUGCCUAACACAUGCAAGUCGAACGGAGCUGCUUUGAUGAAGUUUUCGGAUGGAUUUAAAGCAGCUUAGUGGCGGACGGGUGAGUAACGCGUGGGUAACCUGCCUCACACUGGGGGAUAACAGUUAGAAAUAGCUGCUAAUACCGCAUAAGCGCACGGUUCCGCAUGGAACAGUGUGAAAAACCCCCGGUGGUGUGAGAUGGACCCGCGU
rnacentral:rRNA from 1 species